rnacentral:rRNA from 1 species
CUACGUGCCAGCAGCCGCGGUAAUACGUAGGGCGCGAGCGUUGUCCGGAAUUAUUGGGCGUAAAGAGCUUGUAGGCGGUUUGUCGCGUCUGCUGUGAAAGGCCGGAGCUUAACUCCGUGUAUUGCAGUGGGUACGGGCAGACUAGAGUGCAGUAGGGGAGACUGGAAUUCCUGGUGUAGCGGUGGAAUGCGCAGAUAUCAGGAGGAACACCGAUGGCGAAGGCAGGUCUCUGGGCUGUAACUGACGCUGAGAAGCGAAAGCAUGGGGAGCGAACAGGAUUAGAUACCCUGGUAGUCCACGCUGUAAACGUUGGGCACUAGGUGUGGGGGCCACCCGUGGUUUCUGCGCCGUAGCUAACGCUUUAAGUGCCCCGCCUGGGGAGUACGGCCGCAAGGCUAAAACUCAAAGGAAUUGACGGGGGCCCGCACAAGCGGCGGAGCAUGCGGAUUAAUUCGAUGCAACGCGAAGAACCUUACCAAGUCUUGAGAUCCC